rnacentral:lncRNA from 1 species
CGAGGGUCGGCGUCACAGUGAGAGAGCCAUGAUGGAGGACGGGGUCACCCUGCUUGCCCAACGCGGGGAGCUCCGUCAUACAGAAUCCCAAAGAGCCACGAUCCCAGGAAGCCGGCUUGUGCAGAGGAAAGAACCGCACCUCGUUGUCAGAACAACCCCAGCUCUGCCACCUACACCUUGUGUGACCUUGGGCAAGUCAGAGAAACUUCUCAGGUGCACAAUCUCCUCACGCUCCUAGUUUCCAAGCCCACACACCUGAGGGUCAAUGUCCCUUAUUGCACCCCCACCCCAUACCGACUCCAUCAGCGAGUCCUGUUUGUUCUUGCCCCAAGUAUCUCUCCUGUCUGCCCAUUCCCUGCAUCUCCCCCGUCACCACCCCGGGCCAGUCCCCGUUACCCGCACCUGGAGGUCUGCACCAGCCCCACCUGCACUCCGG